ensembl:lncRNA
AUGGUGGAAGAGGGGACCACGUGGGGCUUUCCACGGUCUCUUGGCGAGCUGACGGGAAGAUGUGACCAUGACUGGAACCCAGUGCUCUGCUCACCAGCACCCGGGGCACUCGGCAGGCUCAACACAGCUCAGCGUUCCUGCUCCCUCUCCUGUAAGCCCACAGGCACCCAGAGGGUCACGUCGGAAGAGACGCACACAGCGAGAGCACCGCAGCGCCCGGGCAUAUGCCAGCAGAAGACCUUCCUUUCGGGAGGGACAGGGUCACCCAACACGUCUCAUCACAUCACCUCCCUGUCUCAAACCUGCAGGAUUAGUCAACCAGGCCAGAGGUACCGGAAUACCGGAACAGGUCCUGGUUACAGGUCCAAAAGCACGAACGAGCUGCAUCCCAAUCGUUUUCUCUGCACGACAGACAUCCUGCCCGCACUGAGGGGCAGUCAGACACUGCACCUGAUUCUCACGGACUCCUGCCAAGGGACAGAUGAAGGUGGAGACCCCGGGCACCCGGAGUCCCGCACAGCCAGCUCCUGCAAAAAGACUGGCAAAUGCAAACCUUCAGUGGGACGCAGCAGGCAGCCCGAGCGCUGCUCACCCCAAUCUACCUGGCCCUGCCCCCAAGCCCGUGAACUCAUGAGCCAAGGCACAGGGACAAGGGAGAAUGCACAUUCUUCCCCUGCUACGGGAAAGGGCCAUGGAACCACAAUGACCUCUCUGACGUCCAAUUUCAUGAACUGCAAAACAAGCAUUGUUGUGCAGAUGGCAGAAGCUAAAAUUCAAUGCUUCCCCAAAACUCUUCCACCCCAAUGAUCUGCAUGACCAAACACAGAGGUGGUGUGGGACUGCAGGGGCGGGGAUGGGAGGGUUCCCGUUCCUCUCUAACGUCUAUUUCAUUAUACAAGUUUUCAUACCUCGGCCCCCGUCCCCAUGAGUAAACCCCUCACUCAUCCUGAGGUCUGCCGUCCCUGGGAACGUUCCCGGGCAUCCAAUCAACAGAAGGCUGUGGGCGCUAACACUAGGCUAAAAUGUAGAUGGGGGUCAUCUGCUGCGGCCUGCCGAUCUCAUCACGCACCUCCUGGUGCGCUCUGGCUGAGCCCCCAUCCAGCAAUAACCAUUCCUGUGCCCGUCGUAGUUCUGCUUCCUCUUACUGUCUUUUCUUCCUUGUGCGGGGGGGGGUAGACAGGGCACGGUUACUCGCCCCACCUACAAGGGGAUGUGAAGACAGUCUGAGAGGACAGGAAUGGAUUCAGCCUCACCCUGCAGGCUUCCAGCCCUUCCUGGAUGGAGGUCGGGGGAGCGGGGGAUAUGACGUGGCAGUUACAGAGUUAACAGGAAAUGGGGCACAUGCAGCAACCCUGCUUAUAUCUUUGGCAAACGAAAAGUGCUAACGUUCCGGGGCACCAACCACGCACCAGGGCUCUGCGUGUAUCACAUUUAAUCCUUGCCACAACCCAAGACAGGUUCACGUUUACAUAUAAGGACGCCGCCGAGGUCCAGGGACUUUAGGUUGCUCUCUCAAGGCCCCAUAGCUGGUGAGGGGGAGAAGGAGGUGCCUCUGCCAGAAGAGGAGGCUUGCUUCGGCCAGAGCAGGCACGAUGAGGGUACCAGCUUCACAGAGUACUUCACCUCCCUACACUCAGCACUGUCUACUAAGGAAGCGUCUACACUUCCAGAAAGGGCGUGGGCUCCUCCUCCUGUCCACCCUCUCUCCUCCCAAGGAGGCUGACCCUGUGUGGUUGUCUGUCUCAGGAAUCCUUCUUUGCCUUGCCCUUACCCCUGGAGGGGCCCCACCAUGUUGGGCCUUCCCUGGCUUGCAGCACCCCCCCCACGCCGGUCUCUGCCUCUCCCCGGGUCUCUCCAGAGCAUCUCCCUCGGUGCUCUCUCCUCUCCUCCAAGCAUAGCACUCAUGGGACUGAGGGUGCCCCCUAAUCCACUAUGACCUCAAUGGGACUAAACACAUCUGCAAAGACCCUGUGUCCAAACACAGCCACAUUCUGAGGUCCCCGCAGACAUAAAGGUGGGGGAGGAGGGGAUGGUAUUCAAGCCAGUAUGGUUGUCUCCUGUGGCCUUCUAUUAUAAAGUAAAAUUUGAAGGAGCGCCUGGGCGGCCCAGUGGGUUAAGCGUCAGACUCUUGGUUUCCGCUCAGGUCAUAGUCUCAUGGUUUGAGAGUUGGAGCCCUGCUUCAUGCUCUGUGCUGAGAGCACAGAGCCUGCUAGGGAUUCUCUCUCUCCUCUCUCUCUCUCUCUCUCUCUCUCUCUCACUCUCUCUCCCUCCCUCCCCCACUUGUGCUCGCUCUCUCAAAAUAAAUAAAUAAACUUUAAAAAACA